UUACAAAAUAUUGAAACCCAAAAAACAAAAAAAAAACCCUAUCACUAUUACCUGGAGCAGACUGAAGGUCUCGUCUCUUGAUUAAAAGUUUAAACUGCUUCUCCUCCAUCUUUGUCUAUGCUUCUUGACGUCCUCUUCUCUGGUAUCGAAGAUACAGGAUAACUAUAAAUACAACCGCAGCAAUAUUGGCAACCGGAAAAAGCCAGAACAAGGCUUCAACUGCAUCAAUUCAUGGCAUACGUAGCAGGCAUGUCAAUUGCUUCAAGGACCUUCUUCUGUUCCACCAC